rnacentral:snRNA from 1 species
AUCCUGGUGCACGGGUUUUACACGUGUCAGUGAGGAGACAUCCGAGACCGUGUUUUUGCUAGUUGAAAACUACUUUUUUGACCGCUCUGACUGGCCUUCGGGUCGGUCAGGAAUUUUUGAAAAAAAAAUACUGCUCUGAGCCCUGUUAUGUUCUGGGCUCAGUUUU